rnacentral:ncRNA from 1 species
GAUAACAGCGUUAUUAUUUUAAAAAGUUCAUAUUGAUAAAAUAGUUUGUGACCUCGAUGUUGAAUUAAUGAACCUUUAAGGUGAAAAAGCUUUAAAAGGUGAAUUGCUCCUCCAUUCAAUCAUUACAUGAUUUGAGUUCAGACCGACGUAAGCCAGGUU